rnacentral:lncRNA from 11 species
AGAGGUGACACUUGUUCCUUGAAGAGUUUUUUCUGGGCAUUCAACAAUACCACCUGCUCUUGCAAUACUUUUUCACCCAUUUCCUUGUGAAUGAAACGCAAUAUACAUAGCGUAUUCAGUGCAGGAUCUGAUCAGCCUCUGUCUUCAGAACUAACCCCACUGGUGAGCUGACCAUUUCUUCAGAGUAACAUUUAAGAGGAUGUGGAUCAAACAAUUCCCAUGGUGUCCACUGGCAAUAGCCCAUCUCUACAUCCUGAACCAUUUGGUAGACAGUCAGAAAACAGAUAUUGUUCCCCAAACUCCACAAAUUUACAAAUUGACUGCUGAAUAUAUAUCUGAUACAUUGGACGUGGAAUGGUACGAUGGUGGUUCAGCAUAUCCAGCUGAAACUAAUGUCAUUUGGGAAAUUCAGGUCUUGCGUGAAAAACCAGUGCUGCUAGAGAUAUACAGAACAACUUUAACUGGUGAUGAUAAUCUUCUCCACUGGCAAUGGAUAUCAAACCUCCCUUUGAACUGUACAACACACAAUGUCAGAAUUCGCGCACGGUUUGCUAGGACUAAGGUGUGGAGUAAAUGGAGUAGAAUUUGGAGUAUUCCCGGAAAAGAAUUUGGAAUGUAUCCUCGAGACAGAGUGGUGGAAGUAGGUUCCGAUGUGACUUUCUGCUGUGUAUGGAAGAAAACAGAGAGAAUCACUAGCUUGAACUUUGCUGGAUGUCAAACUUCACAUUGCCAGACUGCAAGACUCACUAGGUUUAGCUCAACGCUCCAUGCAAAAAACAUUGCUGUUUCCCCCACGUCUGGGUUUAACGCAUGGUGUCGAGCAGGAAAUGACUUCUCAAGCUCCAUAUAUGGAACUGUUCUGUUUGUAGGCUAUCCACCUGAUACUCCACAAAAAUUUACAUGUGGGCUGUUGAGUUCUGAGAAAAUAAAGUGCCAAUGGGAACCAGGAAGGCCAACUGCGUUGUAUGGUUCAAGGGGAACACACUACUUCUUAACUGAACAAUUGUCUAGGACUAAUAUUACAUGUCCACAUGCCAGACACACCCGUGUGCCUUCUGAGUGUAUUUUUCCCAUUCUGGAUGACCAGACGAAAUACGAUUUCACACUCCAAGCUUACAAUCAUCUUGGCCAUGCCAAAGCAUCUAUUUUAUUUGAAACAGAUAUAUAUUGAACUACAGAGCUAAUGCUGUCAGUGGCUCAACAGAGAAUUAGUGUAUCUUGGAUGUUCCAUUCAGUGAUCAAUCCAAAGAUUUGCGCAACUGAGUUUAAGAAGGAAAUAAUGCAUUCAAGUGAGCUGUUUUUUUUAAAUAGAUAUAACUUGUUUGUCCUGAUCUAAUAAGACAAGGACAUAAUAUCAGGAGUGCUGUUUUUGGCUUGAAAUCACUGUUACAAUAAUCCCAGAAUAAACUGUAUUUUAAUGCUGUU